AACGUAGGAGACAAACGUUAUCCGGAGUUACUGGGCGUAAAGGGCGUGUAGGCGGUUUGUUAAGUCUGGCGUGAAAGCUCUCGGCUAAACCGGGAGAGGUCGUUGGAUACUGGCAAACUAGAGGACGGUAGAGGCGUGUGGAAUUCCUGGUGUAGCGGUGAAAUGCGCAGAUAUCAGGAGGAACACCAAUUGCGAAGGCAGCUCGCUGGGACGUAACUGACGCUGAGACGCGAAAGCGUGGGGAGCAAACAGG
rnacentral:rRNA from 1 species